CGCGGGGCAGCCCCGGGGCCGCCCCGGAGCGGAGCCGGUUCUCUUACCUGCCGCCCGCUUGGGUGCCUGCUGUUUCCUCCUUGGCAUCGCUCUACUUCGCUCCAGUCCCACUUCUGGCGGCCCAGCCCCGAGCCGCGCGCGGGGGCCCGCUGCUCUCUCGCCUCUCCGGGGCUCCUCCGCCUCCUGCCCGGCGGCUCCUGGGGCGUCACUCGGCCUCAGUCCCCCCGGCGAUCCCCCCUGCAACUCCUCCACCACGGGCCCGAGGAGACCCCCCUCUCCGGGCGGCGGACACGGGCGGCUCGCGCCGGCUGCUCGCAAGUAGAGGGAGCUGUGCCAGGGACCACAGCUUAAUCAGUAAAACCGCCAGUCCUGCCGGCUGGGGACCACAGUUCGAGGAACAGGGGGUAUAAACGUAAGGCCUGAGCAGAGAAAAGCCUGGGACUGCAGUGAGCUCACCGUGAAUCCACCCCGGGAGAAGCCCCAUGUCUGCUGACUGGGUGUUUUUACUACAUUCAAUCAUUUACCAAACAUCUCGUGUGUUAGUUAGGUGGCCAGGCAUUGCCCAAGUACAGGAGAUGCUGGCGUGCAUAAGAUCGGAUCCCUGCCUUCAAAAAGCUUCUGUGAAAAUGACAUCCUGAAGAUUUGGAACUGGGAGAGAAGGAAUUUGGGGGCUGGACCCAGCUUUGGAGAGGAUCGGGAAGGAAAUGGGCCAGAGUAGCUGACUUUGGGCUACUUUGGGAAUCUUUCCCCGUAUCUCUCUCCAGGAUUCUUCCCUGAAUUUUACUUACAUUCCCACAGUAAUUUGUAUUUUUUCCCCCUACUGCUACUAUUAUAGAGUAUUUCGCUUGGUUAUCAGCAAGGAAGAUUUUGUCUACCUCAGUUGGAUCCACAACACAAUGGUACCCAGGUACUGUUCAGUGGCGUAGACGUGACAUUGAAAAACAUGAAUCGCAUAGUGAAAAGGUUAUUCCCUUUCAGUUUUCUUUCAAUCCAUGAACGUCUCAGUUUGGUGCUAGUGCGUCUUUCAUGCCUAACAAUUGCUAACUUUUAUUUCUCAACCAAGAAACCACAGAUCUCAGACUUAGAAGCUUGGGAGGGGCAAGAGUUACCUGGCUAGACUUUUUUUUUUUAAAUGGUUUGUUUUUAUUGAAUUUACUCUAAGGUUACCUCUAUCUUAGCAAAAGAUGUUGCACUCCAAUUAUGGUAGCAAUCUGAAGUUUGAUGUAAUUUAUGGGUUUUAAAAAUAAAUAUAGCUAAGGAAUGAUAGAGAAUAAAUAAUGGUUCAGGGGUGUGUGGAGAUGGCAAAAUGUGAGAAAGGUGGUACAGGUAUGACUAGAAUUUGCAAAAUACUUCGCUAAACCACAGACUCUGGCACUUUUGGAAACUUCUUCCAAGGGCUGGAGGCUUAGAAUAAUACUAUGUUUGGGUCUCCAGGGAGGUAGCAUCCUCACAUCUAACACUCGAACUCUGGGAUGUGUAAAGGCAUGAACUGAUUGGAAUGAGUCAACUGUAUCUUCUAGAACACCAAUUCCCACACUGGCUCAAUGUCAGAAUCACCCGGGGAUUUUUUUUUUUUUUCUUUCUCCUUAAGAUAAAGAGGCACAGGCGCCACCCUAGAAUUACUGAAUUAGAUCCCCGGGUGGGGCCCGAAAAUCUGAUAUUUUACAAGUUCCCAGGUGAUUCAGAUAAGGUGCCAGGCAUGGGAACCUUGCCCCUGCAAAAGCUGAAUUUUGUAACAAGUGAAUCAAGUUGGUAGAAGUUGGUGCACAUGAGGAAUAGCCAGGGUAUGCAUUCUUGGAUUCACUCAAAAAGGUGAUCGUGAAGCCUUCUAAGUUGUACUCAUGGAAUCUGUGAAUGCCCCAUGAAAGCAUGUAUCUGUCAUACUGAUUUUUGUUGUUAGUUUGCCUCUCUUACUACUGGACUCCAACCCAAUGCAAUUAAAACAGACAUUUGCCAUACGCCUAUUUGAGAUCGGCACUGCCCGAAUUAGCGGGCAUUGGGGCAGUCUGUGGGAUUCUUGAGCUCAGUUGAUGUAAUAACUCUUGUACCAGCUUCGGGGAUUUUGCAUCUUUUCUUCCCUCCAGAAUGGUCCCUCCCCCAGAUUUGUUUUCCUUCUCACUCUAAACUCAAAUGUCAUCUCCUUUUGCCCCUACCGUCUGUCCCAUUCUUUCUCUUAUCUUUCAUGACAGUUAUGACCAUCUGUAAGUAUCUUCUUCAUAUAUUUGCCUAUCUUCAUAUAUUAUUAUCUGUCUUCCCGAAUUAAAAUGUAAGUUCUAAUCAUCUCGAUAUCCCUGAGUCUAGCAGUAUUGGCACUCAGUGAGAAUUUAUGAAAUGACUGAAUACCCAGUUGAGCAUACUUGCAAAGAAGUGUGUAUGGAAAACAAAAACGAAAACGAAAACAAAAACAAAAACAAAAACGAAAAUGAAAACAACAACAAAAACAAAACCAUUAGGCCCACCGUAGGGCUUUCAUUAGGCAUGAGUAGCAUUUCAGCCGGUGUGCCUCUUUUCCAAGUGAUGCUGUCCUUCCUUCCCCAACUUCUCUCCCUUUCCUCCCUUUCCUUUCUCUUGUCUCUUGCCUCCUUCAGAUCGUCCCUUAAGUACCGCCUCCUUCAGGCAGUCUUCCUGGGUGGACUCCAAGUGAUUCAAACUUCUCUAGUCCAUAUCUUCUCAAAACAGAGAGUCACUCUAGAGUAUGAUUCCAAAUAUAUGAAUAGACAGGCAGAAAUGAUCUAUGCUGAGGUAUCAGGGUAGUGGUUACCUUUGAAAGUGAGCUUGAGGAGGCCACUGGGUGUGUGUAGGGGAGGGGCCUGCAUUGUUCUUAACUAGGAUGCCGGUUACCAAGUCUAUUCAGUCUGUGAAAAUUAAUUUAGCUGCAUGCUUAUGAUUUAUGCACUUCUAUAUAUGUACAUAAUGCUUCAAUUAAAUAAAAAAGCAGUGUUCUCAAACUUUGCCAUGUAUCAUAAUCAACUGGGGGGAUUUAAAAAACUCAAUGCCUAGGCCUUACCCCAGACUCAUUACAUCAGUCUGUGGGGGUGGGAUCCAGCCAUCAGUAUUUUUAAAGCCCCCAGAUGAUUCCAAUAUGCAGCCAAGUUUGAGAGCCAGUGUACCAUACGAUUUUACCCUCGAGGAUAUAAUUCAUUGCCUUCCUCUUGUGUCAUUUAACUCAUUCGGGAUAUCCCUCUUCCCAGUAACUAUUUUGUAAAAACUUCAAGGUGGCAAUCUUGGGUUAUUUUCUCCCUUCCCACGACACCUGGUACAGCGUCAUGUUGAGGGUGGGGGAGGACCAGACAAGAGGACGUACCAGAUGGAUCACGAGAGCGAUAGGAAGAAAACGAGGUAGGGUGUUGGGAUAGAGCGUAAGGGGCGGGGGCAGGCCUAUUUUCGGGUGAGAGUCUCAGAAAGCCUUUCUGAGAAGGGAACAUUGAAACAGAGAUCUGGAGUACAAGAGGCAGCCCACCAGGAGCCAAGGCCUGAACUCGGAAGAGACUUCUGUGCUUCCAGAACACAAAGGACGUAGCAGUCAGUGUCCAGGUUUCCAGAGCUAAGCAGGGAGAGGGGAGCAGAAAAUGAUGUAGGGGAGGUGUAGGGCGUGACUGGAUCAUGGAGACAUCGUGGGUCCUAACACCAAAUAUGAGUUUUUUUCUUUGUCAUCGAUAAAUGCUAGUUCGUUUACUUACAUCCCAAGAUAGCUAGUCCAGUAGAGUGGGUUUGUUCAACCAACACAGAAGAGAACCUCUCGGCUUCCACUUGGUGGGAAUUUGCUCUCUGGACACAGUUACAGUACAUGACAAUAAAGUCCAGAGACACUCAGGCACUGACAAGCUUGCUCUUAAGAAUAAAUCCUCCAAAAGUCUUUGGGGGUCUCUUUAAAAACUCUUUGGAUUUGACUAGGUGUAGAAUUUCACAACAGCAAUUAGGCACUAUGUAUAUUUUAAACCAUCCGAUUGCUGAGAGGGCAGGCUGGGGAUACAGGAGCUGUUCAAUUUAACAUACAUCACAUUUCUCCCUUGGAGGUGGCUACUUGCUGUUGGUGACAGUAUUUUGCUGCCACCGAAGAAUCCAGACCGCGUCGCUGGCCCAGUAAUCCAUUGCUCGACUUGAUUAACCACAGGAAGACAUUAAGUGAAUGUAAGGACCGGAACAGCCUGGAAACCAUGUGACGAGCAGCCUUUAAGUUCUGGGCUCUGGUAUAUUUUAUGCCACCUCAACUGUGCAUCAAGCUCUCCUUCCUGAACUCAUUAGAACCGUGUGCCCAAAGGUACCCCUCAACUUUCAGAAGCAAAUAGAGAAUGAUAUAAUUCGCUCUGAGAACACCUUUCUGUCUCAUCCGGAGCAUGUCUUAUCUAUUAUGAUUAGGCAUUAGGCAUCCUAUUGUCCUGAAAAUUUCAUGAGAUUCUCCCCCUGCUUGCUAGGAUUAUGUCAAAGUGACUUGUCCUGGAUGCGUUUUCACCCAUCAAUACAGCUCGUCUCCUCUCCUUAACCAUUGCUGGGGAGGCCAACAGGGCGAAGGAGCCCACGGGCUUACAAUGGUCGAAGAGUUCAAGGCGGUUGCAAAUCCUCUCUUGAGAAGGCUUGCGUGUCUUGCUUCUGGUUUCCCGAGAAGCAGACCCUGAGAUAAAGAUUUGAAAGCAAGUAGUUUGUUUGGGACGUGAUGUUAGAAAACUCUAGUAAGAAAGUAGGGAAGUGAGCACGGUAAGGGAAAGCUAUCAACAUGUGGUGUGUUAUCCAGCAGGCGAUCUCUGUGGGUGAUGGAAUGAAUCCUGCUGGGUGAUGCUGGGAGUCAGUGGACCUUACGCGCUUCUGAGAUAUCCCUCCUGAAGAGCGAGAGAGCUGCGAGCUGGGGUACUUAUCCAUCAGCACCUGCCAGUCAUCGGAUGGGGGCCGCUCUCAGCCUUCUCUGCAGGCCAAGAGCCCCAGAUAACACCUCUUGGAGUUUGUCUCCCAUGAUCAACCAUGAUGUUUUUGUACUAUUGACCCUUGCCCCAGCUUACCGGGUAGACCCUGACUGGCUAAAGCCAAUAAUCUUAUCCCAUCAUAUGCCAUGAUUUGGUCCAUAUGACAGAAACCCAGUCAGAACCUGUGGAGAAGUUUUCCAGGACUUCUAUCAUCUGCAUAGCGUGAAGAUACAAAGAUAUGAACAGCCUGUUUACUACUAAAGUGGAGGACCAUGGAACUGCCAAUGGGAACCCAUCUGAGGCCUGAGGAAGUAGCUGAUUCUGUGCAAGGCAGAAAGGAAAUGUGAAAGGAAACAAAGCUGGUCCUUGGUAACACUGGAGCAAACUGAACCUGAAGCUAGUCUUGUCCCCAGCCUUUUCAGUGAUGAAAACUAAUGGUAGUGGUCAAGACAGGAGGAAGAAGGUUGGAAAUCACCAGAAAAAUUAACUGAAAUUCAAGAAGGAAAAUGACCAUUUGAGGGGAGCAUGACACACCUCCAGCAAAUGCCUCACCUUGUAUGGGAUAUAACAAUGCUGCUUCUGCUGGGAACUGCACCCAACAGCUGAAGAAGGGAGCCUAUCAACUUCUCCCAGGGAAGGACAACACACACUUUGCCCUCCUGCAUCCUGUCCACAAACCUGAGGAGAUAGCUCUGGAAGACGUGCUACAGGAAAGGAAGCUGACGCUCAAAUCGAAGCUGCCGGGUCUGACACAAAUACCGAGGACUCCCCUCCAAGGUGAAGUUCAGAUUUUGCUCUGUUUCUCUCUGCAGCAUGUUUAAACUACAUCCCCAUUUGUGCAGGUAGCUAUGGAAGACUGAAUUAAAAUGUUUAACUUUACACUAAGCCGGAAUAGUAUUAGUGCUUUGCAUCCCAUUCCCUGUGUCACCUUCUAGAGGCUUGAUAAUGCACGAACACACUCAAUGGUUUUUGAAGAGUUAUUUCCCGUAUGCCACGUACCAGGCUUUGUGCGCCUAAUUGCAUCGACUCUUUGCCAAAGACGCCAAUGAGAAAUAUAUUGCUACCCCAGCUUUGUAGAUGUUGACCCUGCAGCUCAGAGAGGUUCAGUAACUCGCCAGAUACCAGGCAGCCAGUAAUUUGGCUGCAAGGCGAGCCCUUAUCUGCUUGUCCCUGACGUUGACUUCCUUCCCUCUAUACGUUCUGGAGGAAAUACCAGCUGGCUCCCUGUGUGAGGAGAAGAUGGGAAAAUACAGAAGAGACUCCGGACAUCCAGAGUGUGAUCCUUAUUUAUUGUGCGGAUUACUCCU